GACGAACCAUGCAAACGUUAUUCGGAAUCACUGGGCUUAAAGAGUUCGUAGGCGGCAUGGAAAGUAGGGUGUGAAAGCCCUCGGCUCAACCGAGGAAUUGCGCUCUAAACUACCGUGCUCGAGGGACCUAGAGGUGAGCAGAACAGAUGGUGGAGCGGUGAAAUGCGUUGAUAUCAUCUGGAAUACCGGAGGCGAAGGCGGCUCACUGGGGGUCUUCUGACGCUGAGGAACGAAAGCCAGGGGAGCGAACGGG
rnacentral:rRNA from 1 species